GAUGAACGCUGGCGGCGUGCCUAAUACAUGCAAGUCGAGCGAACGGACGAGAAGCUUGCUUCACUGAUGUUAGCGGCGGACGGGUGAGUAACACGUGGAUAACCUACCUAUAAGACUGGGAUAACUUCGGGAAACCGGAGCUAAUACCGGAUAAUAUUUUGAACCGCAUGGUUCAAAAGUGAAAGACGGUCUUGCUGUCACUUAUAGAUGGAUCCGCGCUGCAUUAGCUAGUUGGUAAGGUAACGGCUUACCAAGGCAACGAUGGAUAGCCGACCUGAGAGGGUGAUCGGCCACACUGGAACUGAGACACGGUCCUGACUCCGACGGGAGGCAGCAGUAGGGAAUCUUCCGCAAUGGGCGAAAGCCUGACGGAGCAACGCCGCGUGAGUGAUGAAGGUCUUCGGAUCGUAAAACUCUGUUAUUAGGGAAGAACAUAUGUGUAAGUAACUGUGCACAUCUUGACGGUACCUAAUCAGAAAGCCACGGCUAACUACGUG
rnacentral:rRNA from 1 species